CACGUAGGGCGCAAGCGUUGUCCGGAAUUAUUGGGCGUAAAGAGCUCGUAGGCGGUCUGUUGCGUCUGCUGUGGAAACCCGGGGCUUAACCCCUGGCUUGCAGUGGAUACGGACAGGCUAGAGGUAGGUAGGGGAGAAUGGAAUUCCCGGUGUAGCGGUGAAAUGCGCAGAUAUCGGGAGGAACACCGGUGGCGAAGGCGGUUCUCUGGGCCUUACCUGACGCUGAGGAGCGAAAGCGUGGGGAGCGAACAGG
rnacentral:rRNA from 1 species